rnacentral:rRNA from 1 species
UACGGAGGGGGCUAGCGUUGUUCGGAAUUACUGGGCGUAAAGCGCACGUAGGCGGUUUUGUAAGUUAGAGGUGAAAGCCCGGAGCUCAACUCCGGAAUUGCCUUUAAGACUGCAUCACUUGAAUCCGGGAGAGGUGAGUGGAAUUCCGAGUGUAGAGGUGAAAUUCGUAGAUAUUCGGAAGAACACCAGUGGCGAAGGCGGCUCACUGGACCGGCAUUGACGCUGAGGUGCGAAAGCGUGGGGAGCA